UUAAGGCGGGGAUAGUGGCGACGGGUGAGUAACACGUGGGCAAUCUGCCCUGCACUCUGGGACAAGCCCUGGAAACGGGGUCUAAUACCGGAUAUGACCGUCUGCCGCAUGGUGGAUGGUGUAAAGCUCCGGCGGUGCAGGAUGAGCCCGCGGCCUAUCAGCUUGUUGGUGAGGUAGUGGCUCACCAAGGCGACGACGGGUAGCCGGCCUGAGAGGGCGACCGGCCACACUGGGACUGAGACACGGCCCAGACUCCUACGGGAGGCAGCAGUGGGGAAUAUUGCACAAUGGGCGAAAGCCUGAUGCAGCGACGCCGCGUGAGGGAUGACGGCCUUCGGGUUGUAAACCUCUUUCAGCAGGGAAGAAGCGAAAGUGACGGUACCUGCAGAAGAAGCGCCGGCUAACUACGUGCCAGCAGCCGCGGUAAUACGUAGGGCGCAAGCGUUGUCCGGAAUUAUUGGGCGUAAAGAGCUCGUAGGCGGCUUGUCACGUCGGUUGUGAAAGCCCGGGGCUUAACCCCGGGUCUGCAGUCGAUACGGGCAGGCUAGAGUUCGGUAGGGGAGAUCGGAAUUCCUGGUGUAGCGGUGAAAUGCGCAGAUAUCAGGAGGAACACCGGUGGCGAAGGCGGAUCUCUGGGCCGAUACUGACGCUGAGGAGCGAAAGCGUGGGGAGCGAACAGGAUUAGAUACCCUGGUAGUCCACGCCGUAAACGGUGGGCACUAGGUGUGGGCAACAUUCCACGUUUGUCCGUGCCGCAGCUAACGCAUUAAGUGCCCCGCCUGGGGAGUACGUCGCAGGCUAAACUUCAAGAUGGACGGGGGCCCGCACAGCCGCGAGCAUGUGCUUAAUUCGACGCAACGCGAGA
rnacentral:rRNA from 1 species